GGUUAAGCGACUAAGCGUACACGGUGGAUGCCCUGGCAGUCAGAGGCGAUGAAGGACGUGCUAAUCUGCGAUAAGCGUCGGUAAGGUGAUAUGAACCGUUAUAACCGGCGAUUUCCGAAUGGGGAAACCCAGUGUGUUUCGACACACUAUCAUUAACUGAAUCCAUAGGUUAAUGAGGCGAACCGGGGGAACUGAAACAUCUAAGUACCCCGAGGAAAAGAAAUCAACCGAGAUUCCCCCAGUAGCGGCGAGCGAACGGGGAGGAGCCCAGAGCCUGAAUCAGUGUGUGUGUUAGUGGAAGCGUCUGGAAAGGCGCGCGAUACAGGGUGACAGCCCCGUACACAAAAAUACACAUAUUGUGAGCUCGAUGAGUAGGGCGGGACACGUGGUAUCCUGUCUGAAUAUGGGGGGACCAUCCUCCAAGGCUAAAUACUCCUGACUGACCGAUAGUGAACCAGUACCGUGAGGGAAAGGCGAAAAGAACCCCGGCGAGGGGAGUGAAAAAGAACCUGAAACCGUGUACGUACAAGCAGUGGGAGCACGCUUAGGCGUGUGACUGCGUACCUUUUGUAUAAUGGGUCAGCGACUUAUAUUCUGUAGCAAGGUUAACCGAAUAGGGGAGCCGAAGGGAAACCGAGUCUUAACUGGGCGUUAAGUUGCAGGGUAUAGACCCGAAACCCGGUGAUCUAGCCAUGGGCAGGUUGAAGGUUGGGUAACACUAACUGGAGGACCGAACCGACUAAUGUUGAAAAAUUAGCGGAUGACUUGUGGCUGGGGGUGAAAGGCCAAUCAAACCGGGAGAUAGCUGGUUCUCCCCGAAAGCUAUUUAGGUAGCGCCUCGUGAAUUCAUCUCCGGGGGUAGAGCACUGUUUCGGCAAGGGGGUCAUCCCGACUUACCGACCCGAUGCAAACUGCGAAUAUCGGAGAAUGUUAUCACGGGAGACACACGGCGGGUGCUAACGUCCGUCGUGAAGAGGGAAACAACCCAGACCGCCAGCUAAGGUCCCAAAG
rnacentral:rRNA from 1 species